rnacentral:rRNA from 1 species
AGCGAACGCUGGCGGCAGGCCUAACACAUGCAAGUCGAGCGCCCGUAGCAAUACGGGAGCGGCAGACGGGAGAGUAACACGUGGGAACGUGCCCUUCAGUUCGGAACAACCCAGGGAAACUUGGGCUAAUACCGGAUACGCCCUUACGGGGAAAGAUUUAUCGCUGAAGGAGCGGCCCGCGUCUGAUUAGCUAGUUGGUGAGGUAACGGCUCACCAAGGCGACGAUCAGUAGCUGGUCNGAGAGGAUGAUCAGCCUCACUGGGACUGAGACACGGCCCAGACUCCUACGGGAGGCAGCAGUGGGGAAUAUUGGACAAUGGGCGCAAGCCUGAUCCAGCCAUGCCGCGUGGGUGAUGAAGGCCCUAGGGUU